UACGAAGGGGGCUAGCGUUGUUCGGAAUCACUGGGCGUAAAGGGCGCGUAGGCGGCUUUAUAAGUCGGGGGUGAAAGCCUGUGGCUCAACCACAGAAUUGCCUUCGAUACUGUAGAGCUUGAGACCGGAAGAGGUAAGUGGAACUGCGAGUGUAGAGGUGAAAUUCGUAGAUAUUCGCAAGAACACCAGUGGCGAAGGCGGCUUACUGGUCCGGUUCUGACGCUGAGGCGCGAAAGCUAGGGGAGCGAACAGG
rnacentral:rRNA from 1 species